rnacentral:pre_miRNA from 1 species
AAAAUACUCCCUCCGUUCGGAAUUACUUGUCGCAGAAAUGGAUGUAUCUAGACAUAUUUUACUUCUAGAUACAUCCAUUUCCGAGACAAGUAAUUCCGAAUGGAGGGAGUAGCAU